rnacentral:rRNA from 1 species
AUAGCUCACUAGUCGAGAGGUCCUGCGCCGAAAAUGUCCGGGGCUGAAACACACUGCCGAAGCUCAGGGAUGAACAGUGAUCAAUACAGAUCAAUGCAAGAGGAAAGCUUCUUGAUGAAAUCAAGAAGAUUCCAAAACAGAUGAAACAGACUGCUGUUGGUCUGCGUUGAUCACUGUUCAUCGGUAGAGGAGCAUUCUUAAAGAGACGAAGCUGUACCGAAAGGAGCAGUGGAUUUUUAAGAAGAGAGAAUGCCGGAAUGAGUAGCGAGAAAGAGGUGAGAAUCCUCUUGGCCGAAUAUCUAAGGUUUCCAGGGUAAAGCUGAUCUGCCCUGGGUAAGUCGGGGCCUAAGGCGAGGUCGAAAGACGUAGUCGAUGGAUAACAGGUUGAAAUUCCUGUACUAUCCUGUAACAGAACUGUGGGGACGCAGACAGAGAGCACAAGCCGGGAAUGGAAAGACCGGUGCAAGCGAGGUAGGAGUACAUCAGGCAAAUCCGGUGUGCAAUCCGAAGACGUGAUGCGGAUCGAAAAGAAGUAGAGAAGUGUGUGAGCUGGCUGCCAAGAAAAGCCGCUAUUGUUUACAGGAUACCCGUACCGUAAACCGACACAGGUGGAUGAGGAGAGAAUCCUAAGGCCGACGGGAGAAGCAUUGUUAAGGAACUCGGCAAAAUGACUCCGUAACUUCGGGAGAAGGAGUGCCAUGCGAAUGGCCGCAGAGAAUUGGCCCAAGCAACUGUUUAGCAAAAACACAGGUCUAUGCGAAACCGAAAGGUGAGGUAUAUGGGCUGACGCCUGCCCGGUGCUGGAAGGUUAAGAGGAGAGGUUAGCGCAAGCGAAGCUUUGAAUUUAAGCCCCAGUAAACGGCGGCCGUAACUAUAACGGUCCUAAGGUAGCGAAAUUCCUUGUCGGGUAAGUUCCGACCCGCACGAAAGGCGUAAUGAUUUGAGCGCUGUCUCAACAAUGCACCCGGUGAAAUUGAAAUACCAGUGAAGAUGCUGGUUACCUGCGCCAGGACGGAAAGACCCCAUGGAGCUUUACUCCAGCUUGAUACUGGGAUUCGAUAUUGCAUGUACAGGAUAGGUGGGAGACUUUGAACUGAUGACGCCAGUUGUCAGGGAGUCACUGUUGGGAUACCACCCUUGUAGUAUUGGAUUUCUAACCAGCAGCCGUGAACCGGCUGGGGGACAAUGUCAGGUGGGGAGUUUGACUGGGGCGGUCGCCUCCGAAAGGGUAUCGGAGGCGCUCAAAGGU